AUGGCGAACCCCCUAGCCGGGCUGCAGGACCACCUCAAGCACGCGCGCGACUACGCGCUCGAGGGCCUCUACGACACAUCCAUCAUCUUCUUCGACGGCGCCAUCGCGCAGAUCAACAAGCAUCUAGCUAAUUUAGAUGACACCUUUAUCCGCACAAAAUGGAUGAACUGUAAGAAAGCUAUAAGUGAAGAGGUAGAGAUUGUUAGGCAGCUCGAUACCCAAUUGAAGUCAUUUAAAGAAGCCCCUGGGACAAUGCGGUCCUCGUCGCCUCCUAUUCGCUCUAAUAAUAAAUCAUUUCUGUUCCAACCAUUGGACGAGUAUCCAACAUCAUCGCCAUCAACCUUUGACGACCCUGAUGUGUGGGCACCUCCAAGAGAUACAAAUACACCAAACCGAAGGUCAGCAAGAGGCCAAUCUAGUGCAAGAAAAUCCUCCCAAGAUGGAGCUUGGGCACGGGGUCCAUCAAAGACUGGAACACCUAGCCGUGGUGCAAAACCCAGCGGAAGUAAAGCAAACUCUGCGGUAAGAUCAUCAACUGCUUCAAGCACUGGCGGGAGGAAAGGAAAAUCAAGUUCGAGCAAGGCUGAUUCAGCGAGCAGCGAUGCUGAAGAAGGUAAGUCCAAGAAGGCACAGUAUGAAGGACCGGAUGGGGACUUAGCUGCCAUGCUUGAAAGAGAUGUUCUAGACUCUACCCCAGGAGUGAGAUGGGAUGAUGUUGCAGGACUUAGUGAGGCCAAAAGACUCCUUGAGGAAGCAGUUGUGCUUCCUCUCUGGAUGCCUGAAUAUUUUCAGGGUAUUCGUCGACCUUGGAAAGGGGUUCUUAUGUUUGGCCCACCAGGUACCGGGAAGACCCUUCUAGCUAAGGCAGUAGCUACAGAAUGUGGAACAACAUUCUUUAAUGUUUCGUCUGCAACAUUGGCUUCGAAAUGGCGGGGGGAGAGUGAGCGCAUGGUCCGUUGUUUAUUUGAACUUGCAAGGGCCUAUGCUCCAAGUACAAUCUUCAUUGAUGAAAUAGACUCCCUAUGCACAUCUCGUGGAGCUUCUGGUGAGCAUGAAUCAUCGAGGAGGGUAAAGUCUGAACUUCUAGUGCAAAUAGAUGGUGUUAACAAUAGCUCUACCAAUGAAGAUGGUCAGCCGAAAAUUGUUAUGGUUCUGGCAGCUACCAACUUUCCAUGGGAUAUUGAUGAAGCACUCAGGCGGAGGCUGGAAAAGCGUAUCUACAUUCCACUUCCAAGUUUUGAAAGCAGAAAAUCACUCAUCAGCAUAAAUCUUAGAACGGUUGAGGUAGCUACUGACGUUAACAUCGACGAAGUCGCACGAAGGACAGAAGGGUAUAGUGGGGAUGACCUGACAAAUGUUUGCCGUGAUGCUUCGAUGAAUGGUAUGAGGCGAAAGAUUGCAGGCAAGACCCGUGAUGAGAUCAAGAACAUGUCAAAGGAUGAUAUCUCAAAGGACCCGGUAGCCAUGUGUGACUUUGAAGAAGCUUUGGUCAAGGUCCAGAAGAGUGUGUCGCCCUCUGAUAUCGAACGGCACGAGAAGUGGAUGGCCGAGUUUGGAUCUGCUUAA
rnacentral:rRNA from 1 species